rnacentral:lncRNA from 1 species
UUUCUAUGUGCAAACAACUGUUGUUCUCUAGCACGUUUGGUAGCAAGAGCUUUUAUGGGGAUGGGUGACCAUUCUGGCAAUUUCAACCAACUAUUCCGGAAGCUAUUUAAGUAAGGUUUUACUUUAAGAGCAGCAUAAUCCAUUGUUGUUCCUGCAACGGCAAACAUGACCGAGUAACGGACAGCACCUAGAUUUAUUAUAUAGAUAACCAAAAAACCAAUUCUAACACAUUUAAGCAAUUAAUAGAAUAUACACUUAUAACAACUAAGAAUCCAUCAAAUGCCACCACAUUUAAGCAAUUAAUAGAAUAUACAACUUGUACUGAUUUCCACUUGCU